rnacentral:rRNA from 1 species
UACGAAGGGGGCUAGCGUUGUUCGGAAUUACUGGGCGUAAAGCGUGCGCAGGCGGUUAUGCAAGACAGAUGGGAAAUCCCUGGGCUUAACCUAGGAACUGCAUUUGUGACUGCAUGGCUAGAGUGUGUCAGAGGUGGGUAGAAUUCCACGUGUAGCAGUGAAAUGCGUAGAGAUGUGGAGGAAUACCGAUGGCGAAGGCAGCCCCCUGGGAUAACACUGACGCUCAUGCACGAAAGCGUGGGGAGCAAACAGG